ACACUGAUUGUAGAAUUAACAUAGGGUCUGCACUAGCCAAGCGCUCCGCCCACAAAUCAAUAACAAGGUGUUUUUUGGCGAGCUUCGCGGCAGUCGGUGUAGCCAACUGAACUCAGCAUACACUUGGCUAAUUAAACGGAUUUUAAGAGUGAAAUAAGAGAUGAACCUGGCGCAAGCAAAAAAGAAGGAGAAAGAGACGAAGGAGAAAGAUAUGGAGAAGAAAACCAAGGGGAAGAAGGGGGAGAAAAGAGCCAACUUCCAUGUGCUGGUGGCCAUGAUAUCACCGCAUGAUAGGGAUGAAGAUUCCGAGGCUGUUCCUCAAAUCAUCAAACAUAAGGACGAGACGCAAAAACAAGAAACCAUCAAGAAUGAUUCUAAAACCAAGAAAGAAUAACCUCUUUUGGCGACUCUUUUGACUGACUCAACCGUUUAUAAAUGUUGCUUUUUAUAUUCCAUCUUAUUCGUCGUAUUAUGUUGGUUGUGACUUUUUAAAAUUGUAAGGCAAUGUUGGUAAAACUUCAUAUCAAAUUAAACCAUAUCAAAAACGUAAUUCUGAAUUAAGAUUUUGAAAAUCUAAUCAAAAACCGUGAAAUUUUGAUCUUAAACUUAACAUUUGCAACAAAAUAUGUAAGUUAGUAACGCACAAAUUCAAUAGUGAUACGAUACAGUUGUGAACCAAUUAAUCUAGGCACAUUUGUCUGACUUUGACUUGUUCUUAUGGCUACAUUGUAAUUUUAUUGUCAUUAGAAAAAACAUCAUCGUAGAACAUCAUUCUAAAAUCAUCCAUCACUAUGACUACGUUUUUCUUUUGUGUUCCUUAAGACUGCAUCCUGUCCGAUCCUCAAAGACUGUGCAAUUUUAACCCCAAUCUUUUACAUUUGAUACACUUUUUUUAACGUUUUAUAAAGAUUAAUUUGUUGUAUAUUUCUAUAACGUAUGUCAUUUAAGACUAUUAAGCUCAUUUACUAAAUGUUAUCGUAAUAAAACUCUUCAAAAUCACUGUGUUUUUAUUUACCUUACCUAAUGGCAUCUAAACCGGUAGGUACUGAAAGAAAGACAAAAGUAAGUAUACAGUCUCAAUUAGUACAACGCAGACGUCUUUGUCUCACUACAAUAGAUAUCUCUGAUAGAUAUAUCUGAGUGAUAGAUUUCGUCUCGUGGUACAGUGUUAGCUGUAUGUGAAACAAACAGAGCUAUAGCUAUGCUCUCAGUCAGCAGGCAUGUAGGCAAUAGCUCCAGAAUCGAUAGAUAUUUCGUGUGGGUGUAAAGGCUGUGGUGGACGCCAUUUGUCCAUCCUUUUCGUCUAGCCUACAUCCCUGAUACGAUGUAAAUAAUUACAAACUAAAUAGAUCAGUGGUGAUCGCGAGUUCCUAAGGUCAGUGCGAUGCGUUCAAGCGAGAACGCAAGGAAGGAGAUGUUGCCCUUUGAGGUGAUUGUCACGACAGUGUACUGCAACUGUAAAACCUGCGUCAAGUAUUGCUGCGACAAGGAGCCAGUCAAGUGCAUCGAUCCGCGUCUCAUGCACAUGUGGAAUACCUGCUGGAUCACCCACGGUCUUAAGACCACCUACAAAACUAAUAGGCCAAAAAGACUCAAAAACAACCUGAAUCAAAACAAAUCAAAACGUUUUAAACCUGAACAUCAACAAGAAAAAUGCAAUCAAUCCAAUGGAAAUUGAUAUGGCCUUGGUGUGUGCUGCUGUGCCGAAAAGAGAAGACCCACACACUGCAGACUAAACAGUCGACCAUUUCUUUUCCUAGAAUAUAUGGAUUCCAAUGAAGGUGCGUGAACUACAAUUCAUUUUCAUACUUAUUUAUGAUCACGAACUAUAAAAGUUUGCAGAGUAAAAGUGUGCAGUACGGUAACAACGGGCCCCAAUCAUUAGUUUAUAUUGCUGUGUAUUUUGUGUUUUUGUUUUUACAAAUUUUAUAUUUUUUUACUCAAACUAGGUAUGAUAAAAGUGCUCACCAAGCAGUAUUUAUCGCAGUUUUGUUAGUUCUAAGGUAUAUUUUUUGGUUUAUUAACGUUGUUUACAGUUUUUAUGUGAGCGAGUAUGUUUUAGUUUCUUUUAU